AGUGAACGCUGGCGGUAGGCCUAACACAUGCAAGUCGAACGGCAGCACAGUAAGAGCUUGCUCUUACGGGUGGCGAGUGGCGGACGGGUGAGGAAUACAUCGGAAUCUACUUUUUCGUGGGGGAUAACGUAGGGAGACUUACGCUAAUACCGCAUACGACCUACGGGUGAAAGCAGGGGAUCUUCGGACCUUGCGCGAUUGAAUGAGCCGAUGUCGGAUUAGCUAGUUGGCGGGGUAAAGGCCCACCAAGGCGACGAUCCGUAGCUGGUCUGAGAGGAUGAUCAGCCACACUGGAACUGAGACACGGUCCAGACUCCUACGGGAGGCAGCAGUGGGGAAUAUUGGACAAUGGGCGCAAGCCUGGUCCAGCCAUACCGCGUGGGUGAAGAAGGCCUUCGGGUUGUAAAGCCCUUUUGUUGGGAAAGAAAAGCAGCAGGUUAAUACCCCGCUGUUCUGACGGUACCCAAAGAAUAAGCACCGGCUAACUUCGUG
rnacentral:rRNA from 1 species